GCGGAAUGCUUUACACAUGCAAGUCGAACGGCAGCACGGGUACUUGUACCUGGUGGCGAGUGGCGAACGGGUGAGUAAUAUAUCGGAACGUAUCCAUUAAUGGGGGAUAACUAAUCGAAAGGUUGGCUAAUACCGCAUACGUCCUACGGGAGAAAGCAGGGGAUCUUCGAACCUUGCGUUAAUGGAGCGGCCGAUAUCUGAUUAGCUAGUUGGUGAGGUAAAAGCUCACCAAGGCGACGAUCAGUAGCUGGUCUGAGAGGACGACCAGCCACACUGGAACUGAGACACGGUCCAGACUCCUACGGGAGGCAGCAGUGGGGAAUUUUGGACAAUGGGCGAAAGCCUGAUCCAGCCAUUCCGCGUGAGUGAAGAAGCCUUCGGGUUGUAAAGCUCUUUCGCAAGGGAAGAAAACUUACUUUCUAAUAAAGAGUGAGGCUGACGGUACCUUGAUAAGAAGCACCGGCUAACUACGUGCCA
rnacentral:rRNA from 1 species